GAUGAAGAACGCAGCGAAAUGCGAUACUUGGUGUGAAUUGCAGAAUCCCGUGAACCAUCAAGUCUUUGAACGCAAGUUGCGCCCGAAGCCAUUAGGCCGAGGGCACGCCUGCCUGGGCGUCACACGUCGUUGCCCCCCCAUCUACUCCUUCGGGAUUGCGGGGGGCGGAUGAUGGCCUCCCGUGCGCCUCGUCGCGCGGUUGGCAUAAAUGCCAAGUCCUCGGCGACGCACGCCACGACAAUCGGUGGUUGCGAAACCUCGGUUGCCCGUCGUGUGCGGUCGUCGCGCAUCGAGGGCUCGAAAAAAUUGCCGGGCUCCGGCUCGGCUUUCAACGCGACCCCAGGUCAGGCGGGGUUACCCGCUGAAUUUAAGCAUAUCAAUAAGCGGAGGA
rnacentral:misc_RNA from 1 species